rnacentral:misc_RNA from 1 species
CUAACAGCACCACACCGGCGCAGCUCAGGCUCGGGCCACAAUUUUGAGGAAAUGUAGUAGCGAUUUGGUUCAUAUCCCACUUUCCUCGAAGUUGCAUCUUAUUGUAGUGAUCUCAAGAGACGUCUGCUACUGCUAGUUCCAAAGUCAACUGCAUUGACCCUCGAUACUCAGAGAUUUAGAACUGUACCUAAAACCACAGAGAAUGAAGUGUCCAGUGAGUGCGAUCGCGAUUUUGUUCAUUUGCGCCUGGAUUCUUCUGCAGACGGCAGCCUCAGAAGCCACAUACCAGCCAGAAUGCGACACGUUAGAUGAGGCUGUGCAGCAGAUCAACCAAGCCCAGUCGCAGCUGGGGGAUCUCCAAGGUAGAAUCAACUGUACCCGAAGUGCGGACUGUGACGGUUUCACUUGCUUCCUCUUGUUGCAGGGUCAGAGAAAUGAGCUGAGGGUCAAGCUGCACCCUUGCGAUGAUCCGCCCCAGAUGUUCCUUCUGGUUCAGGACCCGGACACCAACUUGCCCUACAUCCAGGAAACCGUCACCCACGGGGAUACCUACACCAUCCCAGGAUUACAGUACGACCAGGCGUUCAUUGACCUAAAUGUAGGCAUCCAGGUGCAGUUUGAGAAGGUCUCAGAAGGCUUCCAAAUUGGGCUGAAGCUUGUGCUCCUGGCCAAUGGGUUCCCUUUAUUUGAGAUUCCCAUUUUAUCUCCGACACUCAUCAGAACACCGCCUUGCUCCACCCAAGCCCCAGGCCAACAAAGCUUGCAGUGCCGACGGAUGCAAGAACUUGUCAUUGGACUGAACCCACCUCACGAUUUUCAGUGCGUGAAGGAUGAUGACUGCAAGGGUUUCAGAUGCACUGGAGCAAUCGGCAUCGGUCCUGUCUCUUUUGAAAUCACAGCAGUAUCAGUGCUAGACAGCUGCACUGAACCCAUUUCAUACACCAUUACCAUUCAAAGAAAUGGCCGGGAUAUCUGGUCCCAUCCAUUCGUCCGUUCGGAGACCGUCCCUGUUGAAGGGGACGGCAUUACUCUGCCUGAGGGAGUCCAAGCCAAUAUUACCGUCAUAAUGGAUCCCUUCACAGAGGACAUCGAUUACUUCCUAACCACGAUCCAACUGACAGUUCACAUUCCAGGACUUCCACAGCCAGUGGUGGACACGUUCCUGAACGAAUCUCGUGUUCCUAUACCACCGUGUGAUCACCCGAUGACUCGUGGACCAACUCUCACACCCCCUGCCUCCCUGACCCCAUUGCCAGGAGUGAGUGACGAGUGCACAACCUUUAGGGACAUAGCCGAUGACAUCGACAACAAUGAAGUCUUCCACGGCCGCAUGAAUUGCAAGGCCAACCACAAUCCGUGUGACGGUUUUUCGUGCAACCUUACUUCUAGCGGUGUUCGGUAUUUAUUCAAGACGAAAAUGUUCCACUGUGAGUCUCCAGUUCGCCUCUUGCUCACCAUCGACAGUGAGACAUCCAAAAAUUACCAUGUGGCAAGAAACAUAACGUGCAACGCAGUUGUUCCCAUCGAGGAACUCCUCUCUGGUGGAGAGAUCAAGUUUCUAGUUAUGCGACGGAGCAACCGUUCUGUUGAGCUGGCCCUAACUCUGAAGGGAUACACACCCGAAGGAACCGUCGCCAUCCCCCUGGUGCAAGAUCGCAUCGUACCCGUCAAACCUUGCACAUUGGCAGUUCCAUUUCCAGACAACCCUAAUGAAGUCUGCAAAGCUGCCUCACCAGGUCCCCCCAACAAUAACCCUGUCAAGCCCCCAAAAGGUGGAGGUGGCGAACCUGGCAAGUCGACCCAGCCCAACUCACAGGCCGCAACUAUUGGUGCAGUUGUGGGUGUGGUCGCCGUCGUCAUGGUAGCGGCAGCCGUCGUGGCACUGGUGUGGUACCGUCGGCGAUCUCACAGGCACAACGAUCAUAUCCACCUGGUGGAGAGCUCGGAUGCGGAUAUGUAGUACCCCGUCUCCCCACAUAUUGAAGCCACGUACCAGCCAGAAUGUGACACGUUAGAUGAGGCUGUGGAGCAGAUUAACCAAGAGCAGGAACCGCUGGCAAAUUUCAGAGAUACUGGUAGCAUCAACUGCACCCGACAUGCAGACUGCGAAGGAAUUUUGUGGCACAUCCCAUGUUCCACAUAUAUCUUCGAUGCUCAUCAGAACACCACCUUGCUCCCGGCCACCCAGCGCCCAAGCCAACAAAGCUUACGGUGCCAACAGAUGCAAGAACUUGUCAAUGGAAUGACGCCUCACAGUUUUCUUUGCACGAAGAAUGACGACUGUAGUGGCUUCAGAUGCAUGGGUGCAUUUGACAUCAGGUUUUUUUCUCUUCCAAUCACAGCGGUAUCUGUGCUAGACAGCUGCACUGAACCCAUCUCAUACACCAUUACCAUUCAAAGAAAUGGCCGGG